rnacentral:lncRNA from 1 species
GUACUAGGAAAAGAACUGUGUUUUCUCCCUAAGUACAUCACCAUCUUCUGUCCCUUCCACCAGCUAGCUAGCAGGGAGCACAGGAUGUGCUCAAAUGACUCAGGACUUCUUCCUAGAAGUGAAUGGAGCAAGAGUCAUGGUGCAUGGAUGUAAUGGAAAAUCAUCUGCAAGAAGCAAUGGACAUAAUGAAUUCAGAAAAGCAUCUACAGAUACAAAGUGAAGUGAUUGGAGACUCUGACCUUGUGAGUUCUGAAUGGUGGGGAGACCAAGCAUCCUGGGCAGCCUGGUAUCUCAAUUUUGUGGCCAGACCAGCACUGAUGCCCCAAAGAACAAAUAAUUACCUUUGGCAGUGGUCCAGUCCAGUUGCAGCCAAGAUAAAAAUUCUUCUGGAAGUUAUUCACAUUUGGACAGGAAGUUGGUGGUACCAACCAUAUGGAUAAACUGAGCUGAGUCUAAGCAUACUCUCCCUAGAGACCAAAGUGGGCUGGAGAAGCAUGUGCUUUCUAAGUAUUAUGAGAGAUAUUUGUAAUUUUGUAUGUGCUCAAAUUAAACAUCUCUUUAUAAGAGCUGAUUAAUUUAAAGUAGUUGAAUGGAUCUGGGGUGCUAGUUAUAUACCUCACAGAAGGAAAGAAUACAGCCAAUAGAAGUCUUUCCUGGGUAAUUGUCCUGGCCAUGAGUGAACUAGAGUUUACAUUAGCACUUAAUGGUGUUUGGGUAGGGAAGGUCAGAUGGAUUUAUAUGGAAAUCAGUUAGUCAUUAAGCAUUAUUAAACAUAGAUUAAAUGCCUACUAAGCAUCAGCCAUUGUGCUAGGGACUGGGGAGGAG